AUGUGCCUCGGAUGACCCUUUCCAUCCACACCUCCUCGCGGGGUUGUUGGAGGAUCUGAAAGUAAUACUUGUGCCCCACGUCAGCCGUGCAUUGCAUCGGCUUUCGUGGGACGCAGGUGUGUACUGUUCUCUAGGAUGCGGUGCAUGCGGUGGACGCGGGAUGAUUGCCCGGUUAUGUCCUCUAUAAAAAUUUCGGUUGGCUUGAAUGACACCUGCGAUCGUGCUCGCUGUUGUUGACGUUCGCGCGGCAACACUUGCAAGGUGCGCAAGGUCAUGCCAUGGAUGCUACCUGGUUGAUCCUGCCAGUAGUCAU
rnacentral:misc_RNA from 1 species